AGAAUCUCAGUCAAAUGAAAGAAAUGAGACCAUCUCACCUCCAAACACCACCAUCACACUCCAGACCUCCACGCAACCCUCCUCAACCUUACACACACACACCAACACCCCGGAUCCCACAGGAAGUCGAUGUCAGUACAGUCUUAUGGAGAUCGAGAACAAAACCACAGCUUAUGUGGUGAAUAUCAACAGCUCUGAUGAACAAACUUACACGAUCAGGAUAAAGGAUAAGCUCAGAGAGAUCCGUGCUGAGAAAAUAUCUAACCAAACUACCUUUAAAAUACCAUUUGAAUGGUUAAAACCAUGCACUGAGUACAUCGUCACUGUAGAUGACUGUAAACCCAGUGAAAGAA